rnacentral:rRNA from 1 species
CCCUUAGAUGUCCGGGGCCGCACGCGCGCUACACUGAAUGAAUCAGCGAGUCUAUCCUGGGCCGAAAGGUCUGGGUAACCCGGUGAACCUCAUUCGUGAUUGGGAUAGGGACUUGCAAUUGUUUCCCUUGAACGAGGAAUUCCCAGUAAGCGCAAGUCAUCAACUUGUGUUGAUUACGUCCCUGCCCUUUGUACACACCGCCCGUCGCUCCUACCGAUUGAAUGUUCCGGUGAGCUCUUCGGACUGCGCGGUCUGCAGUUUCUGCGUUCCGUGCGGAAAGUUGCGCAAACCUUAACAUUUAGAGGAAGGAGAAGUCGUAACA